GCCAUGCCGCGUGUGUGAAGAAGGCCUUAUGGUUGUAAAGCACUUUAAGCGAGGAGGAGGCUACUUUAGUUAAUACCUAGAGAUAGUGGACGUUACUCGCAGAAUAAGCACCGGCUAACUCUGUGCCAGCAGCCGCGGUAAUACAGAGGGUGCGAGCGAUAAUCGGAUUUACUGGGCGUAAAGCGUGCGUAGGCGGCUUAUUAAGUCGGAUGUGAAAUCCCCGAGCUUAACUUGGGAAUUGCAUUCGAUACUGGUGAGCUAGAGUAUGGGAGAGGAUGGUAGAAUUCCAGGUGUAGCGGUGAAAUGCGUAGAGAUCUGGAGGAAUACCGAUGGCGAAGGCAGCCAUCUGGCCUAAUACUGACGCUGAGGUACGAAAGCAUGGGGAGCAAACAGGAUUAGAUACCCUGGUAGUCCAUGCCGUAAACGAUGUCUACUAGCCGUUGGGGCCUUUGAGGCUUUAGUGGCGCAGCUAACGCGAUAAGUAGACCGCCUGGGGA
rnacentral:rRNA from 1 species